UACAAUGCUGGCAACAGCGAUAAGGGAACCUCGAGUGCCAGGUUACAAAUCUGGCUGUCGAGAUGCCUAAAAAGCAUUUCAUAGCAAGGGCCGGGCAAGACCGGUGCCAGCCGCCGCGGUAACACCGGCGGCUCGAGUGGUAACCGUUAUUAUUGGGUCUAAAGGGUCUGUAGCCGGCCGGAUAAGUCUCUUGAGAAAUCUGGCAGCUUAACUGUCAGGCUUUCAGGAGAUACUGUCUGGCUCGAGGCCGGGAGAGGUGAGAGGUACUUCAGGGGUAGGGGUGAAAUCUUGUAAUCCUUGAAGGACCACCAGUGGCGAAGGCGUCUCACCAGAACGGACCUGACGGCAAGGGACGAAAGCUAGGGGCACGAACCGGAUUAGAUACCCGGGUAGUCCUAGCCGUAAACGAUACUCGCUAGGUGUCGGCCACGGUGCGACCGUUGUCGGUGCCGUAGGGAAGCCGUGAAGCGA
rnacentral:rRNA from 1 species